ACGGGAGGCAGCAGUGGGGAAUAUUGCACAAUGGGCGGAAGCCUGAUGCAGCGACGCCGCGUGGGGGAUGACGGCCUUCGGGUUGUAAACCCCUUUCAGCAGGGAAGAAGCGGAAGUGACGGUACCUGCAGAAGAAGCGCCGGCUAACUACGUGCCAGCAGCCGCGGUAAUACGUAGGGCGCGAGCGUUAUCCGGAAUUAUUGGGCGUAAAGAGCUCGUAGGCGGCUUGUCGCGUCUGCUGUGAAAGCCCGGGGCUCAACCCCGGGUCUGCAGUGGGUACGGGCAGGCUGGAGUGCAGUAGGGGAGACUGGAAUUCCUGGUGUAGCGGUGAAAUGCGCAGAUAUCAGGAGGAACACCGAUGGCGAAGGCAGGUCUCUGGGCUGUAACUGACGCUGAGGAGCGAAAGCAUGGGGAGCGAACAGGAUUAGAUACCCUGGUA
rnacentral:rRNA from 1 species